GAUGAACGCUGGCGGCGUGCUUAACACAUGCAAGUCGAACGGAAAGGCCCAAGCUUGCUUGGGUACUCGAGUGGCGAACGGGUGAGUAACACGUGGGUGAUCUGCCCUGCACUUCGGGAUAAGCCUGGGAAACUGGGUCUAAUACCGGAUAGGACCACAUUUUGGAUGGUGUGGUGGAAAGUUUUUCGGUGUGGGAUGAGCUCGCGGCCUAUCAGCUUGUUGGUGGGGUAAUGGCCUACCAAGGCGUCGACGGGUAGCCGGCCUGAGGGGGUGUACGGCCACAUUGGGACUGAGAUACGGCCCAGACUCCUACGGGAGGCAGCAGUGGGGAAUAUUGCACAAUGGGCGCAAGCCUGAUGCAGCGACGCCGCGUGGGGGAUGACGGCCUUCGGGUUGUAAACUCCUUUCGCUAGGGACGAAGCGUUAUGUGACGGUACCUGGAGAAGAAGCACCGGCUAACUACGUG
rnacentral:rRNA from 1 species